CUACGGGUCGCACCAGUGGGGAAUAUUGCGCAAUGGGCGAAAGCCUGACGCAGCAACGCCGCGUGGGUGAAGAAGGCCUUCGGGUUGUAAAGCCCUGUCAGGAGGGAAGAACGACCGGCGUGAACCGCCGGGGAUGACGGUACCUCCAAAGGAAGCACUGGCUAACUCCGUGCCAGCAGCCGCGGUAAUACGGGAGUGCGAGCGUUGUUCGGAAUUACUGGGCGUAAAGCGCGUGUAGGCGGCGCGGUAAGUCCGACGUGAAAGCCCGGGGCUCAACCCCGGAAGUGCGUUGGGAACUGCCAUGCUCGAGUACUGGAGGGGAAAGCGGAAUUCCGAGUGUAGAGGUGAAAUUCGUAGAUAUUCGGAGGAACCUCAGUGGCGAAGGCGGCUUUCUGGACAGAUACUGACGCUGAGACGCGAAAGCGUGGGGAGCAAACAGGAUUAGAUACCCUAGUAGUC
rnacentral:rRNA from 1 species